AUUGAACGCUGGCGGCAGGCCUAACACAUGCAAGUCGAGCGAGCGGCGGACGGGUGAGUAAUGUCUGGGAAACUGCCUGAUGGAGGGGGAUAACUACUGGAAACGGUAGCUAAUACCGCAUACCAUCAGAUGUGCCCAGAUGGGAUUAGCUAGUAGGUGGGGUAACGGCUCACCUGGGCGACGAUCCCUAGCUGGUCUGAGAGGAUGACCAGCCAGACUGGAGCAGAGACAAGGUCCAGAGGCCACCGGGAGGCAGCAGGGGGGAAUAUUGAACAAUGGGAGCAAGCCUGAUGAGGCCAUGCGUCGUGUGGGAAGAAGGCCUUCGGGUUGUAAAGCACUUUCAGCGGGGAGGCGUUACCCGCAGAAGAAGCACCGGCUAAAUCCGUGCCAGCAGACGCGGUAAUAC
rnacentral:rRNA from 1 species